AUUGAACGCUGGCGGCAGGCCUAACACAUGCAAGUCGAACGGAUGCAGGGUGAUUGCUCCUGCUUACGGGUGGGGACGGGCGGAUGAUGCAUGGAUACAUCCGAGUUUGCGUUUUCUAAGGUCCGAACGCGGGGACUCUUACGCUAAUACCCCUGACGGCGUACGGGUGAAAUCUUCGGAUCUUCGGCUCUUGCAUGAGCCUAGGUCGGAUUAGCUAGUUGGCGGGGUAAAGGCCUACCAAGGCGACGAUCCGUAACUGGUCUGAGAGGAUGAUCAGCCACACUGGAACUGAGACACGGUCCAGACUCCUACGGGAGGCAGCAGUGGGGAAUAUUGGACAAUGGGCGCAAGCCUGAUCCAGCCAUACCGCGUGUGUGAAGAAGGCCUUCGGGUUGUAAAGCACUUUUGUUGGGGAAGAAAAGCAGCAAGUUAAUACCUCGCUGUUCUGACGGUACCAAAAGAAUAAGCACCGGCUAACUUCGUG
rnacentral:rRNA from 1 species